AACGCACCUUGCGCCCCUUGGCAUUCCGAGGGGCAUGCCUGUUUGAGAGUCAUUUAAAUUUCUCAACUUUGAGCAGGAGUUGUAAAAGAUUCUGGCUCAAAGCUUGGACUCUGGAGUGUGCUGGCUCCCCUGUGCGGGGUUGCUGGCUCCUCUGAAAAGUAUUAGCGAAAAACCCGAAUAGAACGGUCAAGCUUUUCAGCUGGCAUUGAUAGUUGAUGUCUAUGCCUCACGCUGGUCAGCGUCGGUCCUUUCACAUUUCUUUCGCUCACAGCUCGUCUGCUUUUGCCAGACAAAAUGAUUUCAACAUCUGACCUCAAAUCAGGUAGGACUACCCGCUGAACUUAA
rnacentral:misc_RNA from 1 species